AAAUUGAAGAGUUUGAUCAUGGCUCAGAUUGAACGCUGGCGGCAGGCCUAACACAUGCAAGUCGAACGGUAACAGAAAGCAGCUUGCUGCUUUGCUGACGAGUGGCGGACGGGUGAGUAAUGUCUGGGAAACUGCCUGAUGGAGGGGGAUAACUACUGGAAACGGUAGCUAAUACCGCAUAACGUCGCAAGACCAAAGAGGGGGGACCUUAGGGCCUCUUGCCAUCGGAUGUGCCCAGAUGGGAUUAGCUAGUAGGUGGGGUAAAGGCUCACCUAGGCGACGAUCCCUAGCUGGUCUGAGAGGAUGACCAGCCACACUGGAACUGAGACACGGUCCAGACUCCUACGGGAGGCAGCAGUGGGGAAUAUUGCACAAUGGGCGCAAGCCUGAUGCAGCCAUGCCGCGUGUAUGAAGAAGGCCUUCGGGUUGUAAAGUACUUUCAGCGGGGAGGAAGGGAGUAAAGUUAAUACCUUUGCUCAUUGACGUUACCCGCAGAAGAAGCACCGGCUAACUCCGUGCCAGCAGCCGCGGUAAUACGGAGGGUGCAAGCGUUAAUCGGAAUUACUGGGCGUAAAGCGCACGCAGGCGGUUUGUUAAGUCAGAUGUGAAAUCCCCGGGCUCAACCUGGGAACUGCAUCUGAUACUGGCAAGCUUGAGUCUCGUAGAGGGGGUAGAAUUCCAGGUGUAGCGGUGAAAUGCGUAGAGAUCUGGAGGAAUACCGGUGGCGAAGGCGGCCCCCGGACGAAGACUGACGCUCAGGUGCGAAAGCGUGGGGAGCAAACAGGAUUAGAUACCCCGGUAGUCCACGCCGUAAACGAUGUCGACUUGGAGGUUGUGCCCUUGAGGCGUGGCUUCCGGAGCUAACGCGUUAAGUCGACCGCCUGGGGAGUACGGCCGCAAGGUUAAAACUCAAAUGAAUUGACGGGGGCCCGCACAAGCGGUGGAGCAUGUGGUUUAAUUCGAUGCAACGCGAAGAACCUUACCCGGUCUUGACAUCCACGGAAGUUUUCAGAGAUGAGAAUGUGCCUUCGGGAACCGUGAGACAGGUGCUGCAUGGCUGUCGUCAGCUCGUGUUGUGAAAUGUUGGGUUAAGUCCCGCAACGAGCGCAACCCUUAUCCUUUGUUGCCAGCGGUCCGGCCGGGAACUCAAAGGAGACUGCCAGUGAUAAACUGGAGGAAGGUGGGGAUGACGUCAAGUCAUCAUGGCCCUUACGACCAGGGGGCUACACACGUGCUACAAUGGCGCAUACAAAGAGAAGCGACCUCGCGAGAGCAAGCGGACCUCAUAAAGUGCGUCGUAGUCCGGAUUGAGUCUGCAACUCGACUCCAUGAAGUCGGAAUCGCUAGUAAUCGUGGAUCAGAAUGCCACGGUGAAUACGUUCCCGGGCCUUGUACACACCGCCCGUCACACCAUGGGAGUGGGUUGCAAAAGAAGUAGGUAGCUUAACCUUCGGGAGGGCGCUUACCACUUUGUGAUUCAUGACUGGGGUGAAGUCGUAACAAGGUAACCGUAGGGGAACCUGCGGUUGAUCACCUCCUUACCUUAAAGAAGC
rnacentral:rRNA from 1 species